rnacentral:rRNA from 1 species
UACGGGGGGGAGCAACGUUGUUCGGAUUUACUGGGCGUAAAGGGCGCGUAGGCGGCCACCGCAAGUCGGUUGUGAAAUCUCCGGGCUUAACCCGGAAAGGUCAAUCGAUACUGCGGGGCUAGAGUGCAGAAGGGGCAACUGGAAUUCUCGGUGUAGCGGUGAAAUGCGUAGAUAUCUGGAGGAACACCGGUGGCGAAGGCGACAUCCUGGACCGGCAUUGACGCUGAGGCGCGAAAGCCAGGGGAGCAA